GACGAACGCUGGCGGCGUGCCUAAUACAUGCAAGUCGAACGAGAGCAACCGGUGCUUGCACUGGUCAAUCUAGUGGCGAACGGGUGAGUAGCACGUGGGUAACCUGCCCAUCAGAGGGGGAUAACAUCCGGAAACGGAUGCUAAAACCGCAUAGGUCUUCGAACCGCAUGGUUUGAAGAGGAAAAGAGGCGCAAGCUUCUGCUGUUGGUUGGACCCGCGGUGCAUUAGCUAGUUGGUAAGGUAACGGCUCACCAAGGCCGUGAUGCAUAGCCGACCUGAGAGGGUGAUCGGCCACACUGGAACUGAGACACGGCCCAAACUCCUACGGGAGGCAGCAGUAGGGAAUCUUCCGCAAUGGACGAAAGUCUGACGGAGCAACGCCGCGUGAGUGAAGAAGGUUUUCGGAUCGUAAAACUCUGUUGUUAGAGAAGAACAAGUGCUAGAGUAACUGUUAGCGCCUUGACGGUAUCUAACCAGAAAGCCACGGCUAACUACGUG
rnacentral:rRNA from 1 species